rnacentral:rRNA from 1 species
CCUACGGGUGGCAGCAGUGGGGAAUAUUGGGCAAUGGGCGCAAGCCUGACCCAGCAACGCCGCGUGAAGGAAGAAGGCUUUCGGGUUGUAAACUUCUUUUCUCAGGGACGAAGCAAGUGACGGUACCUGAGGAAUAAGCCGCGGCUAACUACUUGCCAGCAGCCGCGGUCAUACGUAGGGGGGAAGCGUUAUCCGGAGUUACUGGGUGUAAAGGGCGUGUAGGCGGGAAAGCAAGUCAGAUGUGAAAACCAUGGGCUCAACCUGUGGCCUGCAGUUGAAACUGUUUUUCUUGAGUGCUGGAGAGGCAGACGGAAUUCCUAGUGUAGCGGUGAAAUGCGUAGAUAUUAGGAGGAACACCAGUGGCGAAGGCGGUCUGCUGGACAGCAACUGACGCUGAGGCGCGAAAGCGUGGGGAGCAAACAGGAUUAGAUACCCUUGUAGUC